CCCGUCAAAUCGGGCCAUCACACAGGUGCUGCAUGGCUGUCGUCAGCUCGUGCCGUGAGGUGUUGGGUUCAGUCCCGCAACGAGCGCAACCCUCGCCCUUUGUUGCCAUCGGGUAAAGCCGGGCACUCUAAGGGGACUGCCAGCGACAAGUUGGAGGAAGGAGAGGAUGACGUCAAGUCAUCAUGGCCUUUAUGCCUAGGGCCACACACGUGCAACAAUGGCCGGUACAGACGGAGGCAAUGCCGAGAGGCGGAGCAAACCCGAGAAAACCGGUCCCAGUUCGGAUUGAGGUCUGCAACUCGACUCAUGAAGUCGGAAUCGCUAGUAAUCGCAUAUCAGAACGAUGCGGUGAAUACGUUCCGGCCUUGUACACACCGCCCGUCACACCACGAAAGUUU
rnacentral:rRNA from 1 species